UCGCGUCUUACGACGGCAGUUUCACUAGAGUUCUCAGCGUUACCUGAUGGCAACUAGUGAUGGGGGUUGCGCUCGUUGCGGGACUUAACCCAACACCUCACGGCACGAGCUGACGACAGCCAUGCAGCACCUUACUGGCAGUGUAUUGCUACAAAGUGAGCUUUCACCCACGGUCUCCCAGCAUUCUAGCCCAGGUAAGGUUCCUCGCGUAUCAUCGAAUUAAACCACAUGCUCCUCCGCUUGUGCGGGCCCCCGUCAAUUCCUUUGAGUUUCACCCUUGCGGGCGUACUCCCCAGGUGGAAUAUUUAUCGCGUUAGCUUCGCCACAAAAGGGGUCGAUUCCUUUUACAGCAAAUAUGCACCGUUUACGGCUAGGACUAC
rnacentral:misc_RNA from 1 species